GACGAACGCUGGCGGCGUGCUUAACACAUGCAAGUCGAACGGUGAAGCGCCUUCCUUUUUGGUGGGUGUGGAUGAGUGGCGAACGGGUGAGUAACACGUGAGUAACCUGCCCCCUUCUUCUGGAUAACCGCAUGAAAGUGUGGCUAAUACGGGAUAUUCUGGGUCUGUCGCAUGAUGGGUCUGGGAAAGAUAUUGUUUCGGUGGGGGAUGGGCUCGCGGCCUAUCAGCUUGUUGGUGGGGUGAUGGCCUACCAAGGCGGUGACGGGUAGCCGGCCUGAGAGGGUGGACGGUCACACUGGGACUGAGACACGGCCCAGACUCCUACGGGAGGCAGCAGUGGGGAAUAUUGCACAAUGGGCGCAAGCCUGAUGCAGCGACGCCACGUGAGGGAUGGAGGCCGUCGGGUUGUGAACCUCUUUCGCCAGUGAAGCAGGCCUGCCUCGUUUGUGGGUGGGUUGACGGUAGCUGGAUAAGAAGCGCCGGCUAACUACGU
rnacentral:rRNA from 1 species